AACGUCACAGUUUUUUAUUGGAAGGGACAAAAUACAUCCGAUGGUGAUAAGGAAAAUGUGUGUGAGCGAAAGGGAAGGAGGCGCGUGUUGACAGAAGACAGCCCGAGGAGUUUCGGAAACAGGGACGUUGCUCAAGAACUUGAAAGCGUUGGAGGUCUUUCGAAAGGGUUCGGUUGUGCACCGCCUGGAGCUAAGGUAGGAGCUGGAAGGGACUGCACGGGCCCUGCAAGCUUCGACCCAGGGAACUUCGCUGAGGAAAAAUGAGAGGCUGAGGGGCCAUGACUCAUUCUCAUCUCCUUGACAUCAUCUUCAGAAAGUUUCCUCGUGCCACUUCCUGUCGAUCCUCACCCCUACUGCGCUUCCCAGAGGCAACCACUGUUUCGAACUUUGUGACUACAGAUGAGUUUUGCCUAUUCUAGAAGUUCAUGUAAGUGGAAUCAAAUAAAAUGAGUGUUUUAAGUUAUCAUGACCUAAACAAAGCACACUGAGGGGAAUCCCUGGGUGGCUCAGCGGUUCAGCGCCUGCCUUUGGCCCAGGAUGUGAUCCUGGAGACCCGGGAUUGAGUCCUACUUUGGGCUCCCUGCGUGGAGCCUGCUUCUCCCUCUGCCUGUG